rnacentral:rRNA from 1 species
GAUGAACGCUAGCGGCAGGCUUAAUACAUGCAAGUCGAGGGGCAGCAUGACUGUAGCAAUACAGUUGAUGGCGACCGGCAAACGGGUGCGGAACACGUACAGAACCUUCCUUCGAGCGGGGAAUAGCCCAGAGAAAUUUGGAUUAAUACCCCACAGUACAACGGAGUGGCAUCACUUUGUUGUUAAAGAUUUAUCACUUGAAGAUGGCUGUGCGGCUGAUUAGGUAGUUGGCGGGGUAACGGCCCACCAAGCCUGCGAUCAGUAACUGGUGUGAGAGCACGACCAGUCACACGGGCACUGAGACACGGGCCCGACUCCUACGGGAGGCAGCAGUAAGGAAUAUUGGUCAAUGGACGAAAGUCUGAACCAGCCAUGCCGCGUGGAGGAUGAAGGUCCUCUGGAUUGUAAACUUCUUUUAUAUGGGACGAAAAAAGGUCUUUCUAGAUCGUCUGACGGUACCUUAUGAAUAAGCACCGGCUAACUCCGUGCCAGCCGCCGCCGUAAGAC